CCCAACUCUCUCUGGUCUCAAUGACAGGACCAGGUAGAAGAACGACCUAGACUGAGCCAAUGAGCCUCUUCCAUUUGAAACCAUGGAGAAUACAGUCCAGGAGAGUCUUGAACUCGCUGAGUCUUUGACUGGAGUGUAUGUCAGGUAAGAAGCCAGGAAUUUUGUCUCAUUGCAAAACGGAAAAUCAGUCUUAUCAGCAACAAGAAGAAAAACGAGCAGCAUCAUAGGGAUAUGAGGGAGGAUGAGUGGUGGAGAGACAUGGAAAGAAAAUGCCUUGGGCUCCCAUCUCAGCUCAGGACUGUGGUUUAUUACCAUCCUGAGACCAAGAAGAACUCUGGCCAACCGCCUCCAAGAGCUACCAUCUCCUGAAAAUCAAUCCUUCUCUCCCUUUAUUCCCAAAGUUCCCCUCAUGGGGGUCUGUGCUAUUUGCAACCAAGGGAGUCCUGACUACAAAUCAAAAUACUAAAUAUUUUUUGAAAUCCAAAAAGAUAGAAAGAUGGUUUAAGGCUUAAUGAUUAGUUACUGCUGGUCUGGGUUUGGG
rnacentral:lncRNA from 1 species